CAAGUACCGCCAAGUCCCGCCACU
rnacentral:siRNA from 1 species